GAUGAACGCUGGCGGCGUGCUUAACACAUGCAAGUCGAACGAUGAAGCCCAGCUUGCUGGGUGGCUUAUUGGCGAACGGGUGAGUAACACGUGAGUAACCUGCCCUUAACUCUGGGAUAAGCGUGGGAAACUGGGUCUAAUACCGGAUAGGAGCGUCCACCGCAUUGUGUGUGUUGGAAAGAUUUAUCGUUUUUGGACGGAUUCGAGGCCUACAAGCUUGUUGGUGAGGUAAUGGCUCACCAAGGCGACGACGGGUAGCCGGCCUGAGAGGGUGACCGGCCACACUGGGACUGAGACAAGGCCCAGACUCCUACGGGAGGCAGCAGUGGGGAAGAGUGCACAAUGGGCGCAAGCCUGAUGCAGCGACGCCGAGUGAGGGAUGACGGCCUUCGGGUUGUAAACCUCUUUCAGUAGGGAAGAAGAGAAAGUGACGGUACCUGCAGAAGAAGCACCGGCUAACUACGUG
rnacentral:rRNA from 1 species